AGAUAAAAAUUUAUGAUUUUCAAAAUUUAUUUUUAAUUUAUUUUACAUAUAAAUUUUAGUGUUAAUUUUUAAUUUAUUUUAAUAAUAAUUAUUUUAUUAGUAGUAAUUAAUAUUAAAAAUUUAAGAAAUUAAGAUUUAGUAAUAUUAAAAUUAAUAACAAAUUUUUGUGCCAGCAGUUGCGGUUAUACAAAAAUUAAAAUAAAUUUUUUUAGUUUAUAAUUUAUAAAUAAUUAAAUUUAAAUUAAAUAUUAAAUUAUUAAGUGAAAUUUUAAUUUAAUUAAAAUUUAUUUUUUAUUUUUGAUUUAAUAAAUUUUAAUAUAAACUAGGAUUAGAUACCCUAUUAUUAAAAAUUUAAAUGAAUAAUACUAAAAUAUUAGAUAAUUAAAUAUUAAAACUUAAGUAAUUUGGCGGUAUUUUAGUUCAUUUAGAGGAAUCUGUUUAAUAAUUGAUAAUCCACGAAUAAAUUUACUUAAUUUAAAAUUUUGUAUAUCGUUGUUGUAAAAAUAUUUUUAAAUAAAAAUAAUAUUUUAAAUUUAAAAUUAAAAAUUAAUUCAGAUCAAGAUGCAGAUUAUAAUUAAGAAUAUAAUGGAUUACAAUAAAUUUAUUUAAAAUGAAUGUUAUUUUGUAAUAAAUAUUUGAAAGUGGAUUUAAAUGUAAUUUUAUUUAAUUUAAUAAGAUGAUUGAAAAUUAAAAUAUGUACAUAUUGCCCGUCGCUUUCAUUUAAAAAUUGGAAUAAGUCGUAACAAAGUAGAGGUACUGGAAAGUGUUUCUAGAAAGA
rnacentral:ncRNA from 1 species